CAUUUUGUGGUGUAAUGGUUAGCACUUUGGACUGUGGAUCCAACUAUCUGCAAUCAAGUCUCGGCAGAAUCU